AGAGUUUGAUCCUGGCUCAGGACGAACGCUGGCGGCGCGCCUAACACAUGCAAGUCGAACGAGAGAUGAGGAGCUUGCUCUUCAAAUCGAGUGGCGAACGGGUGAGUAACGCGUGAGGAACCUGCCUCAAAGAGGGGGACAACAGUUGGAAACGACUGCUAAUACCGCAUAAGCCCACGGCUCGGCAUCGAGCAGAGGGAAAAGGAGCAAUCCGCUUUGAGAUGGCCUCGCGUCCGAUUAGCUAGUUGGUGAGGUAACGGCCCACCAAGGCGACGAUCGGUAGCCGGACUGAGAGGUUGAACGGCCACAUUGGGACUGAGACACGGCCCAGACUCCUACGGGAGGCAGCAGUGGGGAAUAUUGCACAAUGGGGGAAACCCUGAUGCAGCGACGCCGCGUGGAGGAAGAAGGUCUUCGGAUUGUAAACUCCUGUUGUUGAGGAAGAUAAUGACGGUACUCAACAAGGAAGUGACGGCUAACUACGUGCCAGCAGCCGCGGUAAAACGUAGGUCACAAGCGUUGUCCGGAAUUACUGGGUGUAAAGGGAGCGCAGGCGGGAAGACAAGUUGGAAGUGAAAUCCAUGGGCUCAACCCAUAAACUGCUUUCAAAACUGUUUUUCUUGAGUAGUGCAGAGGUAGGCGGAAUUCCCGGUGUAGCGGUGGAAUGCGUAGAUAUCGGGAGGAACACCAGUGGCGAAGGCGGCCUACUGGGCACCAACUGACGCUGAGGCUCGAAAGUGUGGGUAGCAAACAGGAUUAGAUACCCUGGUAGUCCACACCGUAAACGAUGAUUACUAGGUGUUGGAGGAUUGACCCCUUCAGUGCCGCAGUUAACACAAUAAGUAAUCCACCUGGGGAGUACGACCGCAAGGUUGAAACUCAAAGGAAUUGACGGGGGCCCGCAC
rnacentral:rRNA from 1 species